AUUACCGAUCUUGGUAAAGAUAAAUGGCCAAGAUACAAACGGUUCAUUCUACUUUUGGUUGGGUAGAGUGAGAGACUGUGAAAGGAGAAGAGGAACAAUCGAUCUGGAUUCGUUUGGGUAGAGGUGCAGAGACGGAGAGAGAUUGUGGAAGGAGAAGAGCAGGAAUCGGUGUUGGUUUGGUUGGGAAGAGGUGGGUGCGAAUAUUUGGAUCCAGUGUCAGCAAAAGCAAACUUCCAGGGAAGUUUAGCACAAGCGAGAUUCCAGCCAAGAAUUGGACAAUUUGUCGAUGCUGAGAGUGAUAGGCAGACAGAUUCAUUGCAGGGCACUCCACAGAGGUGCACUCUCUUUGUUGGGAUACAAAUUUGGCUUCCGUCAGUCAAGAGUCUGUCAGAGUGUGGUCAUUAGUCCUCUGGAAAGUGCAUUCACAAGCUCAGUAUUAUCUCCAUAAAAAUGUUUUGUGGAGUUAUAUAGUUUUAUAAUUUUCAUGCAUUUAGAAACUCUAGAAGCUGAGAUCAAGAUGCUCAGGAAGAAGUUGACCUUUAAAGCAAUUACAAUGCCUAACGCUGAUCCUCCUAAUAUCUCUAGGUAGUUUUUCAAGUCUGUAGCACCUGUUGAGCUUAACGGACUGUAGAUUCUGCAGAUUGCUGAUAGAAGGAAGGAGUGUUGUUACUAACAUUACCAGAGAGGUCGACGUACCUAAGACAGGUCAAUUUGCCUACGAAAUUUGAAAGCCCAUCAAUUCUUAGGUUUUGGAGAUCUAACACACACAAACACCUUCAGUUUCAAAUGAUUGUAUUGUGAUGAUGUUUGAUCCUAGAGUGGUAAUGCUGAUUUCAAUUUCACAUUGGUUGGCCUAUUGCCAAAUCAAUUUUAUGGACCAUUUGAUUGUUCUUCUUUUUCUGCAUGCCUUUUGUUAGCAUUAUGCCUGGUCUCUUGAUCUUGACAAGUGAAUGCAUUCAGCUUAUUGUCUUGCUUUAA